rnacentral:rRNA from 1 species
UACGUAGGGUGCGAGCGUUAAUCGGAAUUACUGGGCGUAAAGCGUGCGCAGGCGGUUUUGUAAGCCAGAUGUGAAAUCCCCGGGCUUAACCUGGGAAUGGCAUUUGGGACUGCAAGGCUUGAGUGCGGCAGAGGAGACUAGAAUUCCUGGUGUAGCAGUGAGAUGCGUAGAUAUCAGGAGGAAUACCGAUGGCGAAGGCAGGUCUCUGGGCUGACACUGACGCUCAUGCACGAAAGCGUGGGGAGCAAACAGG